GACGAACGCUGGCGGCGUGCUUAACACAUGCAAGUCGAACGAAGUGGGAACGGGUGAGUAAUACGUGGGUAACCUCCCUCCUUUUUGGGAUAAGCCUUGGAAACGGGGUCUAAACCGAAUAGAUGGGCUCGCGGCCUAUCAGCUUGUUGGUGGGGUGAUGGCCUACCAAGGCGGUGACGGGUUGCCGGCCUGAGAGGGUGACCUGCCAAAGUGGGACUGAGACACGGCCCAGACUCCGACGGGAGGCAGCAGUGGGGAAUCUUCCGCAAUGGACGAAAGUCUGACGGAGCAACGCCGCGUGAGUGAUGACGGCCUUCGGGUGGUAAAGCUCUGUUAAUCGGGACGCGGUACCGGAAUAGAAAGCCACGGCUAACUACGUGCCAGCAGCCGCGGUAAUUC
rnacentral:rRNA from 1 species